AUGCCUGCUGGUAAUGGAAUUGGUUGUGGUGGGAAGAGUGAACAAGCCAUCAGAAGUGUUGUGGACCUGGGACAGAAUCAAAAUCUAAGCUAUGCUAGAGAGAGUGCUAAGGGAAGCAGAGGGGGCAUGGUUACUGAAAUAUUCUGCAACGAAUGUAAGGAUCAUAGGCACUUGACUAGAGACUGCAAGCUGGGAAACUGUGUCAUCUGUGGAAAAAAUUCCCACGUCACUGAAGAAUGUGCUUGGUUGAAACAAAUGAAGCCAGUCCCCAAAUUUGUAGGAUAUGCAGCAAGAGGAUUAGGGGUCCUGGUAGUUCAGAAUUUGAAGGAUGUGCUCAAUAUUGAACAGGCCAACCCUAUGGGGAUUACUAGAGUGGUUUCUGGGGAUAUAAAUGAGACACAAUUUCUGAAAGGCUUCAAAUAUAUGUUUAGCUGGAAUUGGCAGUGGAGAUGCAAGAAACAUGGGGAAAAUGCAUACCUGAUGAGAUUCCCAAACAAAGGGAGACUUAUGGAACUACAAAAGUUUGAUGACUUUAAUCUGCUGGGAACUAAAGCAAUUAUCAAUGUUAAAACUGGGCCUAUGACACCCAAGCAAUUGGAAAAUUACACACUGUGA
rnacentral:rRNA from 1 species